UUCCAUACAAACAUGGGGGAGAAUUUCUUUACUGUAAGGGUGACAGAGCACUGGCACAGGCUGCCCAGAGAGGUUGUGGAGUCUCCUUCUAUGAAGAUAUUCAAGACACAUCUGGACGCCUACCUGUGCGACCUACUGUAGGGAACUGCUUUAGCAGGGGAGUUGGACUUGAUGAUCUCUUGAGGUUCCUUCCAACCCCUGCAAUUCUGAAUAUGAAACAGUAGAUCACCAUGGCAGUUGCUAGACUCCAACACUUUCUCUCUACUUUACGCAUGAAACCUUUUUAACAGCAACAACAAAAAACCAACAAACCAACCAAACAAAAAAACCAAAACAGGUGUUUCUCCAGUGGUCCCACCACUGUUUGGCAGCAGGAAUUGGAUUUUCACCAUGUGGUUUACUCUGCUUUUGUGAUACUGGUCAUGGCUGGAGAGUAAGGAGGCAGAUCUCAGGAGUGUCUCUGCUCCGUUAUUGACAAACUGUACGUUCUUACUCUCACAGAUUAACCAACAGUUGCAAAUUCCAAACUGCAACGUCCUAUCCUCCCAUAUCCUCACUCCAUCUGUACGGUCCAAGCUAUGAAGAGCCAUGGAUGGUGAGAGUGCUGUAGGAGCUAAGCUGCGUCAUACCAACUUAAUGGAAAAGGCCAGUAUAUUCUGGAUGGGCAUCAUGGAAAGAAUGACAACCGCCAUUCGUCUUUUGGAUGGCCAAUUGGACAAUUUACGCCUGUAGUCAGUGGGAAAGACCAAAACCACAAAAUAAUAAAAAGCAGCCAAAAAACCACCACCACCAAAAAAAUGCCCAACCCCCCCAGACAAACAUACAAGCAAAUAAACAACAGCAAAAAACAACUGAAAAUCAAAACCACAGUACUGACCAGGAGAGCAAGAAACCAAACAAACAAACAGAUGCAAAACAAAGCUGCAGUUUUCCUCAGUAUCAUCUUUGGACUUCAUCUGAAUUAUCUUUUGUUAACUCCCAUCUGCACUCCAGAAAGCACUCUGAUGGUCAGCAAUAUUCCCGAGCUAUUACUUUGUUGUAGUGCUGUGAAAAGGCACCCUUGAGUUUGUAUGAGGUACAAUGAAAUAAAUGUGGUAUUUCU
ensembl:lncRNA